UACGGAAGGGGCGAGCGUUGUUCGGAAUCAUUGGCGUAAAGGGCGCGUAGGUGGUUCUGUAUGUCUACCGUGAAAGCGUACGGCUCAACCGUAUUUUGUCGGUAGAAACUGGCAGGACUUGAGGCUGGGAGGGGCUGGUGGAAUUCCCUGUGUAGCGGUGAAAUGCGUAGAGAUGGGGGAGAACACUCGUGGCGAAGGCGGCCAGCUAGACCAGUUUGACACUGAGGCGCGACAGCGUGGGGAGCAAACAGG
rnacentral:rRNA from 1 species